rnacentral:rRNA from 1 species
CAGUCGCCGCGGGAAUACGAAGGGGGCUAGCGUUGUUCGGAAUUACUGGGCGUAAAGCGCACGCAGGCGGCUCGAUAAAUUAGAAGUGAAAGCCUUGGGCUUAACCUGAGAAUUGCUUUUAAGACUGUCGAGCUAGAAUCCAGAAGAGGGUAGUGGAAUUCCGAGUGUAGAGGUGAAAUUCGUAGAUAUUCGGAAGAACACCAGUGGCGAAGGCGACUACCUGGUCUGGCAUUGACGCUCAUGUGCGAAAGCGUGGGGAGCAAACAGGAUUAGAUACCCCCGUAGUCCCUGUCUCUUAUAC